AAGAAGGGAAUGAAGGGAAGGUGAAUAAGACGAAGAACAGUAUGAAGCAGGUGGAGUUAGGUGCGGAAGAGAGCUGUAUAAGAGGAGGAGCAGUGUGAAGCAGGUAGUCAGGUGCGGAAGAGAGGUGUAUAAUAGGAGGAGCAGUGUGAAGCAGGUAGAGUCAGGUGCAGAAGAGGAGGAGCAGUAUGAAGAAGGUAGAAUCAGGUGUGGAAGAGAGGUGUAUAAGAGGAGGAGCAGUAUGAAGCAGGUAGAAUCAGGUGUGGAAGAGAGGUGUAUAAGAGGAGGAGCAGUAUGAAGCAGGUAGAAUCAGGUGUGGAAGAGAGGUGUAUAAGAGGAGGAGCAGUAUGAAGCAGGUAGAGUCAGGUGUGGAGGAGAAGAGCAGUAGAGUACAACAGGACUCAUGAAGAAUGGCUGCCACAGUUUGAAAGGUAAAUGAAUGAGACUACCUAGGAGGAGGAGUGGAGAGAGGGAUCACAGCAAGAGGAGGAGUAUUAUGAAACAGGUGCAGUGGGAUGAAGAUGGACUGACCUGGGAUGUUUACGGAGCCUCCCUGGACCCAGAUGUGCUCAGCUCAGCCUUACAGAAACACCUACAACUCCUGACCAGGACAGACAGCACAAACACAGAAACCACUUCCAAGACCAAGAACCCUCCCAUGGAAACCACUACCACGUCAACCCCUGUUAUGACAACCAAGCUCAAGACCGCUUCCAUGGAAACCGCAACCACGUCAACCCCUCUCACAAACAAAAGAAAGGCCACUUUCAUGGCAACUUCUCCAAUGGCAACCCUUGUCACACCCUUAUCGAUUAAUAACAUGGCGACUGUUGCUACAGAGACUGAGACUGACACUAAAGGAGGAGACAGAGAGGGAGAUAGAAAGCGAGGAGCGGUAGAGAGAGAAGGAGAUGUACAGAGAGAAGCAGAGGCAGAAAGAGAAGGAGAGGUAAAGAAAGGAGAGGAGGGGGAGAAGGUACAGAGGAGGAGGGGACACCGGUGCUGUCUCGUAAGUCGUCGUCCCGGGAGAGUGGGCGGCGCAGAAAGAAGAGUGGAGGAGUGAUCAGGUCACUAAAGCGAUGCGUUCGCUCCUCAAACCCCAAUGACUAACACUGGAAGCACACCCAGAAGGUGGACAUUCUCCCAUUAUAAGACUAACCGAUGACUGCAUAGGACUAACACAGGGGGUUGGUGGGGUUCAGUCUGAAAGGGAAAAGAGUCCAUCUGUAUUGCCUAACACUGGAGUCCAUCUGUAUUGCCCUAACACUGGAGUCCAUCUGUAUUGCCCUAACACUGGACUCCAUCUGUAUUGCCCUAACACUGGACUCCAUCUGUAUUGCCCUAACACUGGAGUCCAUCUGUAUUGCCCUAACACUGGAGUCCAUCUGUAAAUACCAAACACUGGAGUCCAUCUGUAUUGCCCUAACACUGGAGUCCAUCUGUAUUGCCCUAACACUGGACUCCAUCUGUAAAUACCCAACACUAGACUCCAUCUGUAUUGCCCUAACACUGGAGUCCAUCUGUAUUGCCUAACACUGGAGUCCAUCUGUAUUGCCCUAACACUGGAGUCCAUCUGUAUUGCCUAACACUGGAGUCCAUCUGUAAAUACCCAACACUGGACUCCAUCUGUAUUGCCCUAACACUGGAGUCCAUUUGUAUUGCCCUAACACUGGAGUCCAUCUGUAUUGCCUAACACUGGAGUCCAUCUGUAAAUACCUAACACUGGACAUCUGUAUAAACCUGGACUCCGUACUGAUGUAAUGUAGUUUUUAGAUACUUAAUAUUUUUGUUGUUACC